GAGGUUACCAACUUCACAAAUAAUGGGUUUCCAUAGAGGAUGUCAUCUUGAAAAACACAAACAUAGUUUCAUGUGUUUCAUUGGGCUUCACAUUGCAGCCUUUUCAUCUAUCUACAUAUCUUGGAGACCCUUUCCUGCUGAUUCCUGUAGGUUCGUAUUAAUGUUAUUAUUAUUAGCACUUUUAAAAGAGAAGUAACUUCCCUUCUCCCACUAUUUUUAAAUAGACUUCAGUGUGCUGAAAGUUCUCCCAUUGAGAGCACUUAUGCAGUUGGGUGAACUAUCUGCAUGAAAGUGACAUUUGCUCAUCUGUCUUUCUCGCUGAAGUCAUCGUCUAAAGGUAAGCAAAAGAGCAAGCUCAGGAGAAAGAGAAUGGCGCACUCUCAGAGACCUUUCUUGGGGCUGCUGAUUGAGAGACACAAGGCCUGUGGCCACCAGUUGUCGUGGCUUUGUGCAGCAGCAGCAGUGGCAGGGACUCUGGGCUUCCAUGCUCCCCUCUCGUCCAUGCCGGGAGCAUUGCAGCCUCUCCUAGCAGGGCUAGGAUGCCCCACAGCUCUGGGCCUUGAACAGGGUAGGGUCCGUUCAGACUGGGGGUUAUGAGUGGCCUUUGUUGGCAGAGACUACAGUUAAAACCAUCUAAGCGCAAAAGUACCUUAGAAAUUAGAACAAAAAUUCCACCCCUUUAGGAAUAUCGAGGUAUCAGAAUUGGGCAGGGACCCAGCAACUGAGUUCUGGCCGGGGCCUCCUUGCCUUUGCUGUGACAUUGGUCUGGAAGACCUGGGCUGAUGGAUGAGCAUUGAAUGGCCGGGUCUGGGGAGCCAUCAUGGCUGCCUGCCUUCCUCCUGGUGGGCCCCUUAGUAAGCUGAGCAGAAACACAAAAUGGCUAGGGCAGUUACCAUAGCCACUUAACGUCUGUGCAUCCCUCGGCCUCCCUCAUUCUCGUCGGGAUAGGGAUGACUUAGGAAAGCCAGAGGAGGCCCAGGCUGCUAUGAAACCUGGGCCUUGCUUUUCAGCACAAGGAUUUCAAGAGGAGAGGAGGUGAGGGAGGAGGGGAGUUUCUGUUGGGGCUGUUGUGGGCCUCAGGCGGCCCCUGAGUUAAUCCGUAUUCGUAUUCAGAAUUCCCUCCUUUUCCUUAGUGGGUCAGAGUUCUCUCUUGCUCAUCCAGGCCUCAGAGAAGAAUCCAUGGUAGUUGUGACCACAGCUAGGCCUUAACUCCUUCAGAGCCAUGUACAUGAAGGCUCAGAAGAUCCCCUCAUCUUCUGAAGAAGUGUGAGUCUCCUCCUGUAGGCUUCCAAGGGACGCUAGGGUUAGCCAUACUUGCACAGCCUGCCCCACACUCAGGCUUCUUGGCACAGAGAAGCCCUUCCUCUUACUGAUUUAUGGUGCCUACCAUGUUCUAGGCAUUAGAGAAAUGCAUUAAUUUACUCUUCAUAGCAAACAUAUGGGAAAACUGAGGUACGCACAGGUCAGAUAGCUUGCCCAAGGCCACACAGCAGGAAAAUCGUGGAGUCCGGAUUUGAACUCCAGUGGCUGGUCAGGCUCCAGAGGUCGCCUUUCAAAUGCUGCCUGGAAAAUGAUGGAGCUGAUGGAGGAGUCCGAGGUGAUGGCUCUGGUGAGUCAGGAGCCUGCCAAGUCACAGGAGCUGGGGAAAGAGCACACUGGACAGAGGGGACAGCCAGUGGAGGCCCAGCCUCAUGUGGGAGGUGAGGAGAAAGGACCCUUCCAGAGGGCCCCCCCUCAAUCCUGUUGUGCCUAAUUCAGAGGGUUGGGUGGAGGCUCUCCUGAAGGGCUCUGAAGAGCGCUGCACCCGCAGCUGUGUGCCAGGAGUGGAGACAGGACAGUCGAUACAAGAGGGGCCCCUGUCAUGUCAGCUGCUGAGUCCCCUGGGGCGGCCGGGCACUGGGGAAUGGUGAACUCGCCGUGCCGCGCCUCUGCCACAGUCUCCCGUGGGUCCCCACUGCCGGGAGUUUUACCUACCUCCCACCCUCAGCCACGAGCACCUGCAGGAUGCGGUGCCAUCCUCGCCGGUGCCCGCUCCCCUUCCGGAGGCUCUCUCCACCCUCACUGACGCCUCCUCGGGAAAGCCCCCGCUCCUUCCCCGACCUCACAGCAUGCCAGGUCUGGGGCUUCCGCUGGGGGGCUUACCUGUUUUCCACCCCUGCUAGACUGGGAGCUCCAGGGCAAGGCCGUAGCUGCCUUGCGGAUUGUUACGUUGUCCAGCUUGUCUCCACACGUGAUACCCAGCAGGUGCCUAAUAAACUUGUGUAGAAAGAGUGGUGGAUGUUUGCUCUUGUAUUUACUCUUCAUAGAGCCCAGCUCUGCUUGCUAGAGUCCUCGAAGCAAGUGCGCAGUGUCUGACGGUCUUGGGUUGCUUCUGACUCAUGGUGGCUGCUUGGGGGUCAUG
rnacentral:lncRNA from 1 species